rnacentral:lncRNA from 1 species
UGUAAAACAUAAAAAAUGUAAAAACAGCUUGCAAGGCUUUCAAAAAUAGGUGGCUGGCUGUAGUUUGCUGACCCCUGCUCUAUCCUAUGCUGAAUAAAACUCUUCCAUCAUUCUAAUACCACAUACCACUGAAACUGACAUUAUGACAGCAGGUCGCAAUGAUUUGAGGAAGCAUGCAUGCCUUCAUCUCUAAAUGACUGGUGCAAUGGGAGGGGGACCCUUCAAACCACUCAAGGAGGAGUCAGAGAAGAUAAUAACGGAUUUCUUGGAGCUGUUCUACACAGCCACAUUGUAUAAAGAAAACAGGAGAUUCAGCAUUCAAGCU